GGGUCAGUAGGUUGGUCGUGCCACCGGUACGUACUGGUCUCACUGAUUCCUCCUUCCUGAAGAACCGUAAUGCCAUUAAUUUGGUGUUGCGGGGAAACAGGACUGAUACUUUGAAAAAAUUAGAGUGUUUAAAGCAAGCUAACGCUUGAAUACAUUAGCAUGGAAUAAUGAAAUAGGACGAUCGAUCCUAUUUUGUUGGUUUCUAGGAUUGACGUA
rnacentral:rRNA from 1 species